UACGGAGGGAGCUAGCGUUGUUCGGAAUUACUGGGCGUAAAGCGCACGUAGGCGGCUAUUCAAGUCAGAGGUGAAAGCCCGGGGCUCAACCCCGGAACUGCCUUUGAAACUAGGUAGCUAGAAUCUUGGAGAGGUCAGUGGAAUUCCGAGUGUAGAGGUGAAAUUCGUAGAUAUUCGGAAGAACGCCAGUGGCGAAGGCGACUGACUGGACAAGUAUUGACGCUGAGGUGCGAAAGCGUGGGGAGCAAACAGG
rnacentral:rRNA from 1 species